ACCGGCGCUUCCCGGCCGCGCGCGCGGGCGCGCGCACGCACACGCACGCUUCGCGCACGCCGAGGCCGCGCCGGGUCUGGCGGAGGCGAUGGCGUCCGAGCGGCUCCCGAGCCGGCCCGCCUGUCUCCUCGUGGCCAGCGGCGCAGCCGAGGGUGUGUCUGCCCAGUCCUUCCUCCAUUGCUUCACGCUGGCCAGCGCUGCCUUCAACCUGCAGGUGGCCACCCCUGGGGGGAAGACCAUGGACUUCGUGGACGUGAACGAGAGCAAUGCUCGCUGGGUGCAGGAUUUCCGCCUCAAGGCAUAUGCCAGCCCUGCCAAGCUGGAGUCCAUUGAUGGUGCCCGGUACCAUGCCCUCCUGAUUCCCAGCUGUCCCGGGGCCCUGGCCGACCUGGCCAGCAGUGGCUCCCUGGCCCGCAUCCUCCAGCACUUCCGCUCAGAGAGCAAGCCCAUCUGCGCUGUUGGCCAUGGCGUCGCUGCCCUGUGCUGUGCCACCAAUGAGGACCGAUCCUGGGUCUUCCAAGGCUACAGCGUCACAGGGCCCUCCGUGUAUGAGCUCAUCAGGGCGCCUGGCUUUGCCCGCCUGCCCCUCAUCGUGGAGGACUUCGUGAAGGACGCGGGUGCCAUCUUCAGUGGACGUGCCUGGCCGGUGACCCUGCCUGAGGUCUGCGUUCUCGGGACAUCCUGCAGCCAGUGAGCCUGACGCCGUGCACGUGGUGCUGGACCGCCACCUCAUCACAGGCCAGAAUGCCAGCUCCACCGUCCCCGCCGUGCAGAACCUGGUCUUCCUCUGCGGCAGCCGGAAGUGAGAUGGUUACCCGCCUGCCCGUGGAGGCUGCCACCUCUGGAUGGCCCGGGUGUCCCCGGACAUGGCUGGAUUCCUCAGGCCUCCAGGGACCCUGCCUCCGUGACCACCCCUGAGAGUGACUUUCAGACCCCCCAACGUGACCCGGUGGGACUGUUGGAGGCCUCCAAGAGUCAGCCCUGAGGAGUUCAACUUGGGGAGAGGGGUUGACCUCCAGCCCCCAGGCCGUUUGCUUUCCUUGGGGCAGAGAGGAGGGCUCAGGGCUGUCAGGUGCUUAGCACGGAGAGCUGGUCCGAGUGAGUCAGCCGUGGGGGUCCUGGUGUGGGUCUUGGCCCAUCUGGUCUUCCUGUGCACAGGUGGCUGGUCCCUCACCUCUGCCUGUCCCUGUCCACCCAGGCUGAGCCUCUCUGGCGGCGCCAGGAUCCCGUUUUGUGUGGCGAGGACAGUGUCUAGGCCUCUGUGCUGUCCCCCGCUCCUGUGGGUGUUGGCGGGGAGCUGGGGUCCGGCUGGGGCUGGCUCCGCACGUCACUUGCCCAAGGCGAGGGGGGAGCUUGUGGAUGCGAGCUCCUGGCCCCCUGACCGGCCCCAGAUCGCCCACUGCUGAAGGAGCUGACCUAAUUUUAAUCCUUGCCAGGUGUGUGGUUUCGAAGUGUGAUGGUGACAGCCCGUGAGGCCAUGGCUUCUCAUGGUGAGAGAAACUUUUAACUGGGUCUGCAGAACGCAGCACUGCUCACGCGUAGCCCUGCCUGCGUGGCCUGCGGGUUUGCAGCUGCCCCGGAGCUUUGGAGGUAGAAGGGAGCAGAGCACAGGCCCUACGGGGCAAGAGGCCUGGGGAGCAGCCACCCCGGGUUUCCAUGUAGGGGUGGUGGUCCGUCCCCACCACCCAGGCCCCGGCACGCCUGAGCUGGGGAUCCUCCUUCCUGGUGUGGCUGGAUCACCCUCUGGUCUCAGGGCCCGGUUUGGGCCGUGGCCCUUGGGUGGGGCCCCCAGGAGCUGGGCAGGUCCUCUUGUGGGUCCCACCUUUGCUUGUUCCGCUCCCCAGUUUGGGUUGUCUGGCUCUGCUGCAUCUGACCCCUCAGAGGAGGAGGAAGGAGGCGAGGUGCACCCCCCCCGCCCCCCGGUCCUGGGCCGCUUCCAGCGCCAUAGAGCGUGCGGAGAUGCUCUCCCCCCUUCUCUGGUGGAGGUUUUCUGGGGGGACCGUAUCAGGAGCUCCUCACGCCACGCCAGGCUGGCAGCUGCACCGAGAGGCCUGGGUCCUACUCCGUGCCUCAGUUAUCACCACAGGGUGAUUGAUGUCUCUGGACGAAAGCUUUUUUAAAGAUCAUGCCUCUGGGCUCCAUCUGUGUAAUCUGCCAAGAGCUGAACAGUUGCUGAGAUCGGCCAGACUGUGCUCCUGGGUUCCAGAUCAGGGUGCAGGGCAGGUGCCCCACACACCCCCCCUUCCCUGGGUGGCCGCAGCGGCUCAGUCCCGGCUUUGCCAGGUGCAGGGUGCAGGGCUGAGGGCAGCCUUCAGGCUUAGAGGGGGGUGCAGACACCCCCGGCCUGCCUGCUGCCACUUUGGGAUGUCCCCACAUGCCUGGGCUGUUUAGAACAGACCCUGCCUUCCCCUAACCAGAAAUAGCCGACAGCCCCACAGAAGGGACACGGGAGCGUGGUGGCAUCAUCCACAGUAACACACGCUGUAAGCAAGUUGUAGUUUCCUGGCCCGAGUAUCCUUUACUCCCAGACAAUGCUAACAUCCACGUGGUAGAGUGUUAUCUGCUCAGGAAAAGGAAUAAAGUCCUGAUAACAUGGCACAGACUGAACCUUAACCCCGUCCUACGGAGAAGCCAGACCUCAAGGGUGUGUGUGUCCAUAUACAUGAAAUAUCCAGAAAAUCCAGUCAGGGUAGUCAUUAGGGGGCGGGGUGUGCAAGCGGACAGGACGCUUCCUUUCAGGGUGACGGGAACGUUGUAAAGCUAGGGGGUCGGGGCGUCUGGCUGGCUCAGUCAGUGGAGCACGCAGCUCCAUCUCGGGUGGUGAGUUUGUGCCCCAUGUGGGGUGUAGACACUGCUUAAAACAAUAAAAUCUUUAACCGGUCAA